UACGUAGGGGGCUAGCGUUGUCCGGAAUCAUUGGGCGUAAAGCGCGUGUAGGCGGUCCGGUAAGUCCGCUGUGAAAGUCGAGGGCUCAACCCUCGAAUGCCGGUGGAUACUGUCAGGCUUGAGUACGGGAGAGGCGAGUGGAAUUCCUGGUGUAGCGGUGAAAUGCGCAGAUAUCAGGAGGAACACCGAUUGCGAAGGCAGCUCGCUGGAACGUUACUGACGCUGAGACGCGAAAGCGUGGGGAGCAAACAGG
rnacentral:rRNA from 1 species